AGUGAACGCUGGCGGUAGGCCUAACACAUGCAAGUCGAACGGCAGCACAGUAAGAGCUUGCUCUUACGGGUGGCGAGUGGCGGACGGGUGAGGAAUACAUCGGAAUCUACUUUUUCGUGGGGGAUAACGUAGGGAAACUUACGCUAAUACCGCAUACGACCUACGGGUGAAAGCAGGGGAUCUUCGGACCUUGCGCGAUUGAAUGAGCCGAUGUCGGAUUAGCUAGUUGGCGGGGUAAAGGCCCACCAAGGCGACGAUCCGUAGCUGGUCUGAGAGGAUGAUCCGCCCAAAUGGAAAUGAGACAAGGUCCCGACUCCUAAGGGAGGCAGCAGUGGGGAAUAUUGGAAAAUGGGCGCAAGCCUGAUCCAGCCAUACCGGGUGGGUGAAGAAGGCCUUUGGGUUGGAAAGCCCUUUUGUUGGGAAAGAAAAGCAGCAGGUUAAUACCCCGCUGUUCUGACGGUACCCAAAGAAUAAGCACCGGCUAACUUCGUG
rnacentral:rRNA from 1 species